GGGGUGCAACAUUUGCUAUCAAAUUGGAUAAUUCAUGGAAAUAAAAGGCAAGAAAAUAUUAAUGGAAAACAAGUGGAUAAGCUUGAAGACUAAUGGGGCAUUCUAAUGAUGAUUAUAGGAUAUUUGACUUGAAUUAUUGCCCCUCCAUCCUCAGCUUCUCUUGUACACUGCCCCCUCUCCUUCGUUGCCUUCUUCCUCCUCUCCUACGAAGACCGCCCGCAACUUCUGCUCUCUCUCUCUCUCUCUCUCUCUCUCGGAUCACCCCACGGCGCUAGCAGCUGCUUAUUUUUCUCUCUUUUCCUUCGCUCAUCCCACCGAUUCCCCAGCUUUGCACGCCUCAAGAACAAGCCCUCCCUAAAGUUGACUUCAGCAGCACCACCAUCAAUUGUCCACCGCCUCUGCAUCACAUCCACGCCUUCUACCCCAACAUCAGCGACCGCUUGCCAGCUCGCCCAUCGUCUUCGUGCAUCAACGACGCCUCCACCGAAGCAAUUCCCACCGAGUUUUUCUCUCCAAGCUGCCACGUCCGGGUCAACUAAACUUCAAGCGAAGCCCCAUCAUCGACCUUGAAGCUUCUCCGUGCGCCACGCCUGCAGCUCCAUCGAACUCAUCAUCCACCGAAGUUGCUCCACCAAGUCUUGUCUUCAUGCUGGUUUGUUGACCCCAGAAUCAAGCCGCGGAGUCCUCCAUCGGGUGAAUCGCCCACACUUCUGAAGCUCCCACUGUGUUGACUCCAACUCGUGGCCACCGAAGUGAAGACCUAGCAAGCUGCUCCCUUUGUCCGCGUCGUCUCUCUCUCGCUCGUGAAUUUCCUCACCGAAGCUGCCCCGUGCAUGACACCAGCGAAGCCAGCCCAACGCCUCCACGUUUUCCUUGCUGCAUCGACGUCCCCUGCAAGAGCAGUAUUUUCAGCCCGUGAAGCCCAACAGUCUUCACGCCCACGAGCUAGCAGGUCCAUUCGAAGCCCUCAUUCGACCCAAUUGAAGUCAAG
rnacentral:lncRNA from 1 species